rnacentral:rRNA from 1 species
GAGUAACGCGUAUGCAACCUACCUUAUACAGGGGGAUAGCUCUCGGAAACGAGGAUUAAUACCCCAUAUGAUUAACGAAUGGCAUCGUUUGUUAAUUAAAGCUACGGCGGUAUAAGAUGGGCAUGCGUGCCAUUAGGUAGUUGGUAAGGUAACGGCUUACCAAGCCUUCGAUGGCUAGGGGUUCUGCAAGGAAGGUCCCCCACACUGGUACUGAGACACGGACCAGACUCC